UGUGAAGGUCUGCUAGACGGCACUAAAUUGUCCCACCACCAUCUUUCCAUCCAGGCCAGUGCUGGUGGAGGGCUGUCACCUGAUGGACUCCAUGGUGCACCACAUCUGAAAGAAGCAACAUAUCAUAAAAUUGCACUUCCAUACUGGGGGCCUUUACAAGCUGAAUUCCGGUAGAGGGCAGCACUGUUUCCGACUCUCCAGAGUGAUGGAGUUGGAAAUGCACCUCUCAGUUACUUCUCCGACAGGUCCGUGAGAAUUUGUGGAUUGCUGUGCUGUGGGGAAGAGAAGUUAGUUGUGGUCAUGGGUGCCUGUCAUGCCAAAAGGGCAGCUGGCCUCUCCUGCCCUCAGGAGGGAGUGCCCCACCCAUGGCAGGGACCAGGUGCCCCAGCAGGCCAGUGGAAG